rnacentral:rRNA from 1 species
GACGAACGCUGGCGGCGUGCUUAACACAUGCAAGUCGAACGGAAAGGCCCUGCUUGCAGGGUACUCGAGUGGCGAACGGGUGAGUAACACGCGGGUGAUCUGCCCUGCACUUCGGGAUAAGCCUGGGAAACUGGGUCUAAUACCGGAUAGGAGCCAUUUUUAGUGUGAUGGUUGGAAAGUUUUUUCGGUGUAGGAUGAGCUCGCGGCCUAUCAGCUUGUUGGUGGGGUAAUGGCCUACCAAGGCGGCGACGGGUAGCCGGCCUGAGAGGGUGGACGGCCACAUUGGGACUGAGAUACGGCCCAGACUCCUACGGGAGGCAGCAGUGGGGAAUAUUGCACAAUGGGCGCAAGCCUGAUGCAGCGACGCCGCGUGGGGGAUGACGGCCUUCGGGUUGUAAACUCCUUUCGCUAGGGACGAAGCUUUUUGUGACGGUACCUAGAGAAGAAGCACCGGCUAACUACGUG